UGGAAACUGCAACUCUAAAUAUUACAUCAAGUCAACAAUACAAUGCAAAAGCUGUUAGCUAAUAUGAAGUUUUGAUAAGAAUGACACUCAUGUGCAAGUGCAACUUCUAGCAGUCAGUUAACAAGAAAACAACACAAGGCUGAAAGAAAGGAAGAAUACACCUUCACUUUGAAGCUUUCUUUCCGAGCUCCACGAGCAUAGUCAAUAAAGCCUCGCACAUUUCACAAGCAUCGGG
rnacentral:lncRNA from 1 species